UUAACUGUUUAUUUCGUUAUUCCCUCUUUCAUGUCGUGGCCAGAGCAGGGACACUGGGGGAAGGGGAAACACGCAUCAACACAUCUCUACAAUAACUGCUGCUUAUAUGGGGGACACAUCCAAGUUACCCACAUGCAAGGAGGCUGUCAAACGGAGAAAUCACUGCAGACUGUUGGUACACAGACAUCUGCUGCCCAGCUCAGAAGUGAAGUACCUUUUUGUUUUGAUGAGGUGAUGGUGAGGACAGCCACAGCUUCCAUCUGGUAGAGGACUGCUUCCGCUCAGUCUUCCAAAUAGUGAUGAGAACAAGGAUCUCCCUGGUCAUCUAUUUACUAUACCUGUC